AACGAACGCUGGCGGCAGGCCUAACACAUGCAAGUCGAGCGGACCUUUCGGGGUCAGCGGCGGACGGGUGAGUAACGCGUGGGAAUAUGCCCUUCUCUACGGAAUAGUCCUGGGAAACUGGGGGUAAUACCGUAUACGCCCUUUGGGGGAAAGAUUUAUCGGGGAAGGAUUAGCCCGCGUAGGAUUAGGUAGUUGGUGGGGUAAUGGCCUACCAAGCCGACGAUCCAUAGCUGGUUUGAGAGGAUGAUCAGCCACACUGGGACUGAGACACGGCCCAGACUCCUACGGGAGGCAGCAGUGGGGAAUCUUAGACAAUGGGGGCAACCCUGAUCUAGCCAUGCCGCGUGAGUGAUGAAGGCCUUAGGGUUGUAAAGCUCUUUCAGCUGGGAAGAUAAUGACGGUACCAGCAGAAGAAGCCCCGGCUAACUCCGUG
rnacentral:rRNA from 1 species